GUAGAAAACGCACGAUCUCUACAGGAACGAAAAACUGCCAUGGCGCACGACCUAAAAAGGAACGAUAUUAUGACGACGUGGGAGGUAUCCGUUAGUACAACAGGGAAGUGCAAGCCAGAGGCAAGAAGAACGAAAUCAAACGACAAAAGAUAAAAAAGAAAAAUAUCGACCCUAAUAGGUGAACCUAGCAGGAGUCUAUUGAGAAGUUUAUGAUCGUCGGAUAGUUUUGGUUUCAUAAAUAAGGAACAAGAAGAAGAAUAGAACCACAGAAGCAGUCUCAUGUGUUUCAAUCGAUCUCUCUCCCCAUGCAUUCAAAAAUUUCAAAUUUAACCAAAACGAGGCUGUAAUUUCAGUAUAUGGUGGGAGGAUGGUUUUUCAUUUCGUAUUGUCCCGUUUCCAUGAGUGGAGUUAAGGAAAUACUGACAACUUGAGAUAGGGACACAAUUCUUUAAACCAAAUAUCUCCUCAUGCAAUUUUGGAGACUGAAUCCUUCAUGAAAAGUGCAGCCUGAUUUGAACUUGACAUUUGUUCUGAGAAAGAAAUGGCAAAUGUAGAGGAUGAACUUUGUAGAGUUAGACUUUAUAAAUAAUUGCUGGUCAUCACCUUCAAUCACACAUCAGAACAUACGGUUCAAUGCAAUCUGCAUAAGUUUUCUGUACAUCUUUCAUAUGCAACUUUUUUGAUUUCAACCAUGAACAUGCAUGAAUGUGUCAUAUAAAUGCUCAAAUUCUCAAAUUUAAGGGUCUGUAUCAAGAUUUUGUUACUCGGGUAGUCUGGUGAGGAAUCUACUUUCAGGUCGCUGAGUAUAAUUCUAUGAUUUAAAUACCGCAAUAUGUGCCCAUUAAUUAUAAACAAAUUAAAUCUUAAAAGUAAUCAAUACACGGGUAUUAUCACAAAGGAAUAGAUGGUUAUACUUGGUCUUAGCC